GCUGAAGGUUGGUGCUUUACCAGAAUGAGGGCAAGGAACACCUGGCCCACCCAAGGCAGAAACUGCUUAAGGUGUUCUUAAACCACAAACAAUAGCAUGAGGGAUCUGUGCCUUAGGGACAUGUUCCUGCUGCAGAUAACUAGCCAGAUCCAUCCCUUUGUUUCAGCCCAUCCCUUUAUUUCCCAUAAGGAUUACUUUUAGUAAAUCUUAUUACUGGCUUGCUGUCAAUAAAUAUGUGGGUAAAUCACUGUUCAAGGCUCUCAGCUCUGAUUUCCCACUCCACACUCUAUAUUUCUGUGUGUGUGUCUUUAAUUCCUCUAGCACCGCUGGGUUAGGGUCUCCAUGACUGAGCUGGUCUUGGCAAGCAGCACCCAAUGUGGAGACUCAAACCCAGGUUGAAGGGUCGCUGGAGCAAUGGUUGGAGAACGUGGAACUAAGCUGGAGGACACUCAAGUACUCUCAAGCAAUUCCCAUGGACUGAAUCAACAGCCGAUUUGGAUACCAUUAAGACACCUGAAACCUUAUCAUGAGCUGGAUGCCAAGGAAUAGAUUCUGGGAGGAUCCUGAGGACCCCCCAGUUGCAGCCAUGUUGAGACUGAUGCUGAGGAAGACCCCAACUGUCACAAGGAACACCCAUCAAACACACCCACCUACCUGGGGACAGAUCAAGAAGCUGUCACAGAUGGCGGAAGAAAACCUGAGGAAAGCGGGACAACCAGUCACAAUGAGUAAUUGAAUGGUAGCUAUGAUAGUGGUGAUCACCACUGCUGUGAGUAUCCCUUCAACAAGGGCUGACACAGAGAACAAUUAUACUUAUUCAGCAUAUUUCUCAAUCUUGGUUGGCAAUAAUGCCUGGAUGUAAUCUCUCUAUGACACAGUUACACGUUUUCUUAUCUCAGUAUUUAUCAUAAUGAAUCUGCUCCUUUAAUUGAGGCAUACUGCCCUCAAAAACCUAUUUGUAAACAAAAUUGAACCUGGCCAGAAAAAAUGAACGUACUUGUUUAGGAAGAUUGCAUUGCAGAACAGGCAGAGAUGCUGUGCAACGAUUCCUAUGGAAUCAUUAUUAAUUGGUCCCCUAAGGUGAUGUUUAGCAUGAAUUGCACCUCUCAGUCUGCGUGCCACAGCCACACUAUGUCUAGCUGGUCUAAACAAAACAGUCAGAUGGUAGAAAAGGUAAAAAGUACAGCAAGAGUUCCUAUUAUCUGGAACCAUGGUGGCAUAGUGGCACCUCAUCCUCAAAUGAUAUGACCCGUUGUAGAAGCGAAACAUAAGGAUUUGUGGAAACUAUUAAUAGCUCUUAAUAAGAUCAAAAA